UUUCUUCCCGUGCUGGCCAAUCUAGAGCAGAAUAGAAGAAAAUAAUGUGUUUUCAGGUUUAUGAUGGAAUCUUUUUCAUCACUGUGCUUGCAGCUUGAUAACCGAUGCUAGUUGUUAGGUGCAUCUUCUCUUUUUCCUUUUCCUUUUCCUUUUCCAUCACACAUUGUGUGUUCCACUGGUGUUUGUAGAUUUGGGAGCUGCCUUUUCCCUGUAUGUGACCAAGAGAACGUUCUCUCAAUUUUUCCAUUACUGUAUUUUGCAAUAAUGAGAAGCAUCUUGUUGCUUGAAUGCUGAUACAAUUGUAUUAUUAUUGGUGGAAUGUAUUGAUACUCCUGAAUAUAUGAAAUCC
rnacentral:lncRNA from 1 species